UACGAAGGGGGCUAGCGUUGCUCGGAAUUACUGGGCGUAAAGGGAGCGUAGGCGGACAUUUAAGUCAGGGGUGAAAUCCCAGAGCUCAACUCUGGAACUGCCUUUGAUACUGGAUGUCUUGAGUGUGAGAGAGGUAUGUGGAACUCCGAGUGUAGAGGUGAAAUUCGUAGAUAUUCGGAAGAACACCAGUGGCGAAGGCGACAUACUGGCUCAUUACUGACGCUGAGGCUCGAAAAGCGUGGGGAGCAAACAGG
rnacentral:rRNA from 1 species